rnacentral:rRNA from 1 species
AAUGAACGCUGGCGGCAGGCCUAACACAUGCAAGUCGAACGCCCCGCAAGGGGAGUGGCGCACGGGUGAGUAACGCGUGGGAAUAUGCCCUUCGGUUCGGAAUAACACAGGGAAACUUGUGCUAAUACCGGAUAAGAUCUACGGAUGAAAGAUUCAUCGCCGAAGGAGUAGCCCGCGUAGGAUUAGCUUGUUGGUGAGGUAACGGCUCACCAAGGCGACGAUCCUUAGCUGGUCUGAGAGGAUGAUCAGCCACACUGGGACUGAGACACGGCCCAGACUCCUACGGGAGGCAGCAGUGGGGAAUAUUGGACAAUGGGCGAAAGCCUGAUCCAGCCAUGCCGCGUGAGUGAUGAAGGCCUUAGGGUUGUAAAGCUCUUUCGCCAGGGAAGAUAAUGACGGUACCUGGAAAAGAAGCCUCGGCUAACUCCGUGCCAGCCGCCGCGGUAA